GACGAACGCUGGCGGCGCGCCUAACACAUGCAAGUCGAACGGAGUCAAGAGGAGCUUGCUUUUCUUGACUUAGUGGCGAACGGGUGAGUAACGCGUGAGUAACCUGCCCUGGAGUGGGGGACAACAGUUGGAAACGACUGCUAAUACCGCAUAAGCCCACGGAUCCGCAUGGAUCUGCGGGAAAAGGAUUUAUUCGCUUCAGGAUGGACUCGCGUCCAACUAGCUAGUUGGUGAGGUAACGGCCCACCAAGGCGACGAUUGGUAGCCGGACUGAGAGGUUGAACGGCCACAUUGGGACUGAGACACGGCCCAGACUCCUACGGGAGGCAGCAGUGGGGGAUAUUGCACAAUGGGGGAAACCCUGAUGCAGCGACGCCGCGUGGAGGAAGAAGGUUUUCGGAUUGUAAACUCCUGUCGUUAGGGACGAUAAUGACGGUACCUAACAAGAAAGCACCGGCUAACUACGUG
rnacentral:rRNA from 1 species